AACGUAGGACGCAAACGUUAUCCGGAAUUACUGGGCGUAAAGGGCGCGCAGGCGGAUCGAUAAGUGAGGCAUGAAAGCUUCGGGCUAAACCUGGAGAGGCUGUCUGAGACUGUCGAUCUGGAGUGCGAUAGAGGGGUGUAGAAUUCCGCGUGUAGUGGUGAAAUGCGUAGAGAUGCGGAGGAAUACCAGAGGCGAAGGCGGCACCCUGGAUCGUAACUGACGCUGAGGCGCGAAAGCAUGGGGAGAGAACGGG
rnacentral:rRNA from 1 species